CAAUAGCGUAUAUUAAAGUUGUUGCGGUUAAAAGCUCGUAGUUGGAUUUCUGCCGAGGACGACCGGUCCGCCCUCUGGGUGUGUAUCUGGCUCGACCUGGGCAUCUUCUUGGAGAACGUGGCUGCACUUGAUUGUGUGGUGCGGUAUCCAGGACUUUUACUUUGAGGAAAUUUGAGUGUUUCAAGCAGGCAUACGCCUUGAAAACGUUAGCAUGGAAUAAUAAGAUAGGGUCACUUCUCUAUUUUGUUGGUUUCUAGAAUCGUGACAAUAGAUUAAUUAAGGGAGUAGUCGGGGGUAGGUUUGUUAUUCUAACUAGUCAGAGGUGGAAAUUACUUGGAUUUGUUUGUAAGACAGACUACUGCGAAAGACAUUUACCUAAGGAUGUUUUCUAUUGAUCAAGAACGAAAGUUAAGGGGAGUCGAAGACGAUCAGAUACCAU
rnacentral:rRNA from 1 species